UACGUAGGGUGCAAGCGUUAAUCGGAAUUACUGGGCGUAAAGCGUGCGCAGGCGGUUUUGUAAGUCUGUCGUGAAAUCCCCCGGGCUCAACCUGGGAACUGCAUUUGUGACUGCAUAGCUAGAGUACGGUAGAGGGGGAUGGAAUUCCGCGUGUAGCAGUGAAAUGCGUAGAUAUGCGGAGGAACACCGAUGGCGAAGGCAAUCCCCUGGACCUGUACUGACGCUCAUGCACGAAAGCGUGGGGAGCAAACAGG
rnacentral:rRNA from 1 species